AUUGAACGCUGGCGGCAGGCCUAACACAUGCAAGUCGAGCGGAUGAAGGGAGCUUGCUCCUGGAUUCAGCGGCGGACGGGUGAGUAAUGCCUAGGAAUCUGCCUGGUAGUGGGGGAUAACGUCCGGAAACGGGCGCUAAUACCGCAUACGUCCUGAGGGAGAAAGUGGGGGAUCUUCGGACCUCACGCUAUCAGAUGAGCCUAGGUCGGAUUAGCUAGUUGGUGGGGUAAAGGCCCACCAAGGCGACGAUCCGUAACUGGUCUGAGAGGAUGAUCAGUCACACUGGAACUGAGACACGGUCCAGACUCCUACGGGAGGCAGCAGUGGGGAAUAUUGGACAAUGGGCGAAAGCCUGAUCCAGCCAUGCCGCGUGCGUGAAGAAGGUCUUCGGAUUGUAAAGCACUUUAAGUUGGGAGGAAGGGCAGUAAGUUAAUACCUUGCUGUUUUGGCGUUACCAACAGGAUAAGCACCGGCUAACUUCGUG
rnacentral:rRNA from 1 species